AUUGAACGCUGGCGGCAUGCUUUACACAUGCAAGUCGAACGGCAGCACGGACUUCGGUCUGGUGGCGAGUGGCGAACGGGUGAGUAAUACAUCGGAACGUGCCCAGUUGUGGGGGUUAACUACUCGAAAGAGUAGCUAAUACCGCAUGAGAACUGAGGUUGAAAGCAGGGGAUCGUAAGACCUUGCGCAACUGGAGCGGCCGAUGGCAGAUUAGGUAGUUGGUGGGAUAAAAGCUUACCAAGCCGACGAUCUGUAGCUGGUCUGAGAGGACGACCAGCCACACUGGGACUGAGACACGGCCCAGACUCCUACGGGAGGCAGCAGUGGGGAAUUUUGGACAAUGGGCGAAAGCCUGAUCCAGCAAUGCCGCGUGCAGGAUGAAGGCCUUCGGGUUGUAAACUGCUUUUGUACGGAACGAAACGGUCUGGGUUAAUACCCUGGGCUAAUGACGGUACCGUAAGAAUAAGCACCGGCCAACUACGUGCCAGCCGCCGCCGUAAUAC
rnacentral:rRNA from 1 species